AGUGAACGCUGGCGGUAGGCCUAACACAUGCAAGUCGAACGGCAGCACAGUAAGAGCUUGCUCUUACGGGUGGCGAGUGGCGGACGGGUGAGGGAUACAUUGGAAUCUACUUUUUCGUGGGGGAUAACGUAGGGAAACUUACGCUAAUACCGCAUACGACCUACGGGUGAAAGCAGGGGAUCUUCGGACCUUGCGCGAUUGAAUGAGCCGAUGUCGGAUUAGCUAGUUGGCGGGGUAAAGGCCCACCAAGGCGACGAUCCGUAGCUGGUCUGAGAGGAUGAUCAGCCACACUGGAACUGAGACACGGUCCAGACUCCUACGGGAGGCAGCAGUGGGGAAUAUUGGACAAUGGGCGCAAGCCUGAUCCAGCCAUACCGCGUGGGUGAAGAAGGCCUUCGGGUUGUAAAGCCCUUUUGUUGGGAAAGAAAAGCAGCAGGUUAAUACCCCGCUGUUCUGACGGUACCCAAAGAAUAAGCACCGGCUAACUUCGUG
rnacentral:rRNA from 1 species